rnacentral:rRNA from 1 species
GACGAACGCUGGCGGCGUGCUUAACACAUGCAAGUCGAACGGAAAGGCCCUGCGUUUGUGGUGUGCUCGAGUGCCGAACGGGUGAGUAACACGUGUGUAUCCUGCCCUUGUCUUUGGGAUAACUUCAGGAAACUGGGGCUAAUAUCGGAUAGGAUCUCCUGCAGCAUGGUGGGGGGUGGAAAGUUUCGGCGGUUGGGGAUGGACUCGCGGCUUAUGAGCUUGUUGGUGGGGUAGGUGCUGACCAAGCCUUGGACGGAUAGCCGGCAUGAGAGGGUGACCGGCGACAAUACGACUGAGAUAGGGACCAGUCUCGUACGGGAGGCAGCGGUGGGGAGUAUUGCACAGUGGGCGGGAGCCUGAUGCAACGGCGCCGCGUGCGGAAUGCCGGCCUUCGGGGUAAGAACAGCUUUCGCCUGUGACGAAGCGUGAGUGGCGGUAAUGGAUAAAGAAGCACCGGCUAACUACGUG